rnacentral:rRNA from 1 species
UACGUAGGUGGCAAGCGUUUGUCCGGAAUUAUUGGGCGUAAAGCGCGCGCAGGCGGUCUUUUAAGUCUGAUGUGAAAGCCCCCGGCUCAACCGGGGAGGGUCAUUGGAAACUGGGAGACUUGAGUGCAGAAGAGAAGAGUGGAAUUCCACGUGUAGCGGUGAAAUGCGUAGAGAUGUGGAGGAACACCAGUGGCGAAGGCGACUCUUUGGUCUGUAACUGACGCUGAGGCGACGAAAGCGUGGGGAGCAAACAGG